rnacentral:rRNA from 1 species
CCCUGCCCUUUGUACACACCGCCCGUCGCUCCUACCGAUUUCGAGUGAUCCGGUGAACCUUUUGGACUGCGAGGAGACUCGUGCUCAGCGCGGGAAAUCAAGUAAACCACAUCACUUAGAGGAAGGAG